GGGUUGUGAGGUUAAGCGACUAAGCGUACACGGUGGAUGCCCUGGCAGUCAGAGGCGAUGAAGGACGUGCUAAUCUGCGAUAAGCGUCGGUAAGGUGAUAUGAACCGUUAUAACCGGCGAUUUCCGAAUGGGGAAACCCAGUGUGAUUCGUCACACUAUCAUUAACUGAAUCCAUAGGUUAAUGAGGCGAACCGGGGGAACUGAAACAUCUAAGUACCCCGAGGAAAAGAAAUCAACCGAGAUUCCCCCAGUAGCGGCGAGCGAACGGGGAGCAGCCCAGAGCCUGAAUCAGUGUGUGUGUUAGUGGAAGCGUCUGGAAAGGCGCGCGAUACAGGGUGACAGCCCCGUACACAAAAAUGCACAUGCUGUGAGCUCGAUGAGUAGGGCGGGACACGUGGUAUCCUGUCUGAAUAUGGGGGGACCAUCCUCCAAGGCUAAAUACUCCUGACUGACCGAUAGUGAACCAGUACCGUGAGGGAAAGGCGAAAAGAACCCCGGCGAGGGGAGUGAAAAAGAACCUGAAACCGUGUACGUACAAGCAGUGGGAGCCUCUUUAUGGGGUGACUGCGUACCUUUUGUAUAAUGGGUCAGCGACUUAUAUUCUGUAGCAAGGUUAACCGAAUAGGGGAGCCGAAGGGAAACCGAGUCUUAACUGGGCGUUAAGUUGCAGGGUAUAGACCCGAAACCCGGUGAUCUAGCCAUGGGCAGGUUGAAGGUUGGGUAACACUAACUGGAGGACCGAACCGACUAAUGUUGAAAAAUUAGCGGAUGACUUGUGGCUGGGGGUGAAAGGCCAAUCAAACCGGGAGAUAGCUGGUUCUCCCCGAAAGCUAUUUAGGUAGCGCCUCGUGAAUUCAUCUCCGGGGGUAGAGCACUGUUUCGGCAAGGGGGUCAUCCCGACUUACCAACCCGAUGCAAACUGCGAAUACCGGAGAAUGUUAUCACGGGAGACACACGGCGGGUGCUAACGUCCGUCGUGAAGAGGGAAACAACCCAGACCGCCAGCUAAGGUCCCAAAGUCAUGGUUAAGUGGGAAACGAUGUGGGAAGGCCCAGACAGCCAGGAUGUUGGCUUAGAAGCAGCCAUCAUUUAAAGAAAGCGUAAUAGCUCACUGGUCGAGUCGGCCUGCGCGGAAGAUGUAACGGGGCUAAACCAUGCACCGAAGCUGCGGCAGCGACACUGUGUGUUGUUGGGUAGGGGAGCGUUCUGUAAGCCUGCGAAGGUGUGCUGUGAGGCAUGCUGGAGGUAUCAGAAGUGCGAAUGCUGACAUAAGUAACGAUAAAGCGGGUGAAAAGCCCGCUCGCCGGAAGACCAAGGGUUCCUGUCCAACGUUAAUCGGGGCAGGGUGAGUCGACCCCUAAGGCGAGGCCGAAAGGCGUAGUCGAUGGGAAACAGGUUAAUAUUCCUGUACUUGGUGUUACUGCGAAGGGGGGACGGAGAAGGCUAUGUUGGCCGGGCGACGGUUGUCCCGGUUUAAGCGUGUAGGCUGGUUUUCCAGGCAAAUCCGGAAAAUCAAGGCUGAGGCGUGAUGACGAGGCACUACGGUGCUGAAGCAACAAAUGCCCUGCUUCCAGGAAAAGCCUCUAAGCAUCAGGUAACAUCAAAUCGUACCCCAAACCGACACAGGUGGUCAGGUAGAGAAUACCAAGGCGCUUGAGAGAACUCGGGUGAAGGAACUAGGCAAAAUGGUGCCGUAACUUCGGGAGAAGGCACGCUGAUAUGUAGGUGAAGUCCCUCGCGGAUGGAGCUGAAAUCAGUCGAAGAUACCAGCUGGCUGCAACUGUUUAUUAAAAACACAGCACUGUGCAAACACGAAAGUGGACGUAUACGGUGUGACGCCUGCCCGGUGCCGGAAGGUUAAUUGAUGGGGUCAGCGCAAGCGAAGCUCUUGAUCGAAGCCCCGGUAAACGGCGGCCGUAACUAUAACGGUCCUAAGGUAGCGAAAUUCCUUGUCGGGUAAGUUCCGACCUGCACGAAUGGCGUAAUGAUGGCCAGGCUGUCUCCACCCGAGACUCAGUGAAAUUGAACUCGCUGUGAAGAUGCAGUGUACCCGCGGCAAGACGGAAAGACCCCGUGAACCUUUACUAUAGCUUGACACUGAACAUUGAGCCUUGAUGUGUAGGAUAGGUGGGAGGCUUUGAAGUGUGGACGCCAGUCUGCAUGGAGCCGACCUUGAAAUACCACCCUUUAAUGUUUGAUGUUCUAACGUUGACCCGUGAUCCGGGUUGCGGACAGUGUCUGGUGGGUAGUUUGACUGGGGCGGUCUCCUCCUAAAGAGUAACGGAGGAGCACGAAGGUUGGCUAAUCCUGGUCGGACAUCAGGAGGUUAGUGCAAUGGCAUAAGCCAGCUUGACUGCGAGCGUGACGGCGCGAGCAGGUGCGAAAGCAGGUCAUAGUGAUCCGGUGGUUCUGAAUGGAAGGGCCAUCGCUCAACGGAUAAAAGGUACUCCGGGGAUAACAGGCUGAUACCGCCCAAGAGUUCAUAUCGACGGCGGUGUUUGGCACCUCGAUGUCGGCUCAUCACAUCCUGGGGCUGAAGUAGGUCCCAAGGGUAUGGCUGUUCGCCAUUUAAAGUGGUACGCGAGCUGGGUUUAGAACGUCGUGAGACAGUUCGGUCCCUAUCUGCCGUGGGCGCUGGAGAACUGAGGGGGGCUGCUCCUAGUACGAGAGGACCGGAGUGGACGCAUCACUGGUGUUCGGGUUGUCAUGCCAAUGGCACUGCCCGGUAGCUAAAUGCGGAAGAGAUAAGUGCUGAAAGCAUCUAAGCACGAAACUUGCCCC
rnacentral:rRNA from 1 species